rnacentral:rRNA from 1 species
UCCUACGGGAGGCAGCAGUAGGGAAUAUUGCGCAAUGGGCGAAAGCCUGACGCAGCAACACCGUGUGAGCGAUGAAGGCCUUCGGGUCGUAAAGCUCUGUCAGGUGGGAAGAAACCCGGUUGGUAGAUAAUACCGGCCGGCUGACGGUACCACCAGAGGAAGCUCCGGCUAACUCCGUGCCAGCAGCCGCGGUAAUACGGAGGGAGCAAGCGUUGUUCGGAAUUACUGGGCGUAAAGGGCGCGUAGGCGGUUUGGUAAGUCAGAUGUGAAAUUCACCGGCUCAACCGGUCGAACUGCAUCCGAUACUGCCAGGCUUGAGAUCAGUAGAGGAGAGUGGAAUUCCCAGUGUAGCGGUGGAAUGCGUAGAUAUUGGGAAGAACACCGGUGGCGAAGGCGGCUCUCUGGACUGAUUCUGACGCUGAGGCGCGAAAGCUAGGGGAGCGAACAGGAUUAGAUACCCGGGUAGUCGC